CCUACGGGAGGCAGCAGUGAGGAAUAUUGGUCAAUGGGCGAGAGCCUGAACCAGCCAAGUCGCGUGAGGGAAGACGGACCUAUGGAUUGUAAACCUCUUUUGCCGGGGAGCAAAAAGCGGUACGCGUACCGCAUCGAGCGUACCCGGAGAAAAAGCAUCGGCUAACACCGUGCCAGCAGCCGCGGUAAUACGGAGGAUGCGAGCGUUAUCCGGAGUUAUUGGGUUAAAGGGGUGCGCGGGCGGCAAGUAAAGUCAGCGGUAAAAUUUUGGGGCCCAACCCCGAACAGCCGUUGACACUGGGUUGCUAGAGUGGGCGAGAAGUAUGCGGAAUUCGUGGUGUAGCGGUGAAAUGCAUAGAUAUCACGCAGAACUCCGAUUGCGAAGGCAGCAUACCGGCGCCCAACUGACGUUCAGGCACGAAAGCGUGGGUAUCGAACAGGAUUAGAUACCCUAGUAGUC
rnacentral:rRNA from 1 species